UACGGAGGAUUCAAGCGUUAUCCGGAUUUAUUGGGUUUAAAGGGUGCGUAGGCGGUUUGAUAAGUUAGAGGUGAAAUGUCGGGGCUCAACCCCGAAACUGCCUCUAAUACUGUUGGACUAGAGAAUAGUUGCGGUAGGCGGAAUGCGCGGUGUAGCGGUGAAAUGCUUAGAUAUCGCGCAGAACCCCGAUUGCGAAGGCAGCGUACCGGCUCCACACUGACGCUGAGGCACGAAAGCGUGGGUAUCGAACAGG
rnacentral:rRNA from 1 species